UGGUGAGACCAUGUGAUGAAAUGAACCGAGCGAAGAGAGAUGAGAAGCUCCACCGACUGUCCUCACAUUGUUUUGAUAAGGUCUGAGACAGCAGCGCAGGAGAUGGUCUUUUGACCACAGACGACUGAGACAACAGGUUUCAUAUUCUUCAUUUGCAACCACGAAGGAUCAUGCGAAUGGAUGUUGCAUCUAACAUCACCUCCACAGAUGGUUUCCAGAAAUGUAUGUUGUAUGUGAAAGAGAGAGAGGUUUUGGUACUCAGUAGGAUGGCGGAUGACGCGAACUCGUUGAGGUCCACGCACCGAACACCUCGUGCGGCAUCUGCCCAUUGGGAAGCAG